AUUGAACGCUGGCGGCAGGCCUAACACAUGCAAGUCGAACGAGUGGCGGACGGGUGAGUAAUGUCUGGGAAACUGCCUGAUGGAGGGGGAUAACUACUGGAAACGGUAGCUAAUACCGCAUACCUUUAGAUGUGACCAGAUGGGAUUAGCCACUUGGUGGGGUAACGGCUCACCAAGGCGACGAUCCCUAGCUGGUCUGAGAGGAUGACCGACCACACUGGAACUGAGACGAGGUGCAGACACCUACGGGGGGCAGCAGUGAGGAAUAUUGCACAAUGGGCGCAAGCCUGAUGCAGCCAUGCCGCGUGUAUGAAGAAGGCAUUCAAGUUGUAAAGUACUUUCAGCAGGGAAGCGUUACCCGCAGAAGAAGCACCGUCUAACUCCGUGCCAGCAGCCGCGGUAAUUC
rnacentral:rRNA from 1 species